AGAGUUUGAUCAUGGCUCAGGAUAAACGCUGGCGGCGUGACUAACACAUGCAAGUCGAACGAUCCCGCAAGGGAGAGUGGCGGAAGGGUGAGUAACACGUGGGAAUCUACCUCCUCGCAGGGAACAACCUCUCGAAAGAGAGGCUAAUACCCAAAAGGGUCAGAAAUGAUCAGAGUCGAAAGGCGUGAGGAGAGGAGCCCGCGGCCCAUCAGCUAGUUGGUGAGGUAAUGGCUUACCAAGGCUACGACGGGUAGGGGAUCUGAGAGGAUGUCCCCCACACUGGAACUGAAACACGGUCCAGACGCCUACGGGUGGCAGCAGUGAGGGAAUAUUGGACAAUGGGCGAAAGCCCGAUCCAGCAACGCCGCGUGGAGGAUGAAGGCCUUCGGGUCGUAAACUUCUUUAGAGGGAGACGAGAAAGGACGGUAUCCCUAGAAUAAGCGACGGCAAACUACGUG
rnacentral:rRNA from 1 species